GCGUCCAUGGCUGAAUGAUAAAAGCAUUUCAUUCAUAAUUGGGAAGUCACGGGUUCAAUUCCCGCUGGAUGCA
rnacentral:tRNA from 1 species